rfam:Zea mays cultivar B73 chromosome 5, whole genome shotgun sequence.
ACUCGUUUAGCUUAGUUGGUAGAGAGCAAAGCUUCUAACCUUGUGGUUGUGGGUUCGAGCCCCACGGUGGAUG